rnacentral:lncRNA from 10 species
UCACAAGAUCUGGUAGUUUGAAAGUGUGUAGCUCUUCUGCCUUUGUGUGCUUUCUCUCUCUCCUGCUUCCAAGUCAAGAUGUGCUGGCUUCUCCUUUGCCCUUCUGUCAUUAUUGUAAGUUUCAUGAGGCCUCGGAGCCACGCUUCCUGUAUAGCCUGCAGAACGGUGAUCAUUCCACUCUUCUGCUAAUGUCAUGUUCUGGUUCAGGGAGUCCUCCAGGGAUGGCCAUACCUUUCUCUCCAAGAGCUUUGGCGAACUCUACUCCAAUCUGAACAGGUUACUCAAUGUGAAGAUGACAACAAGGGUGAAGACUUUAAUGAUGAUCCACUUCCACUUAAAAAAUAAUAAAUAUAUUUUCUCCUCC